GUCAAUAACCCAUCACUAAAGUGACGGGCAUGUAAAGUGCCCUUGUUGACCAGAUCACCGAUUGGAGUAAACAAAAUCGGUAAACGAUAUGCAAGAAAUAGUUACCUUCAAAUAUCGCCUCAGUUUGAAGCUCUAAG
rnacentral:sRNA from 16 species